CAAUAGCGUAUAUUUAGGUUGUUGCAGUUAAAAAGCUCGUAGUUGGAUUUCGGAUGGGACUUGCCGGUCCGUCGUUUCGAUGUGCACUGGCCAGUCCUAUCUUGUUGUCGGGGACUAGCUCCUGGGCUUCACUGUCCGGGACUAGGAGCUGACGAGGUUACUUUGAGUAAAUUAGAGUGUUCAAAGCAAGCCUACGCUCUGAAUACAUUAGCAUGGAAUAACACGAUAGGACUCUGGCUUAUCUUGUUGGUCUGUGAGACCAGAGUAAUGAUUAAGAGGGACAGUCGGGGGCAUUCGUAUUUCAUUGUCAGAGGUGAAAUUCUUGGAUUUAUGAAAGACGAACUUCUGCGAAAGCAUUUGUCAAGGAUGUUUUCAUUAA
rnacentral:rRNA from 1 species